UACGUAGGGUGCAAGCGUUAAUCGGAAUUACUGGGCGUAAAGCGUGUGUAGGCGGUUCGGAAAGAAAGAUGUGAAAUCCCAGGGCUCAACCUUGGAACUGCAUUUUUAACUGCCGAGCUAGAGUAUGUCAGAGGGGGGUAGAAUUCCACGUGUAGCAGUGAAAUGCGUAGAUAUGUGGAGGAAUACCGAUGGCGAAGGCAGCCCCCUGGGAUAAUACUGACGCUCAGACACGAAAGCGUGGGGAGCAAACAGG
rnacentral:ncRNA from 4 species